rnacentral:lncRNA from 1 species
AUUGAAGAGUGUAGGUAUGGAGGUUUUACUCCAAGAUCCACCUUUUGGGGGUUGUGGUAUUCUGAGCCAGUGGUUUUCUUAACCUCUGAGUAUUAAUUUCCUCUUUUGUAGAACGAGAUUAUUAGCAAUAGUAAUACACAGGGCAGCAAAAGCGUUGUAACUACAAAAUGUGCCACAGUUUCCAACAGAACAGUCAUAAUUUCCUAAGGAUGUACCAAAAUAUCCUCAUCUGUGUGGCAUGGAGCAGUGUAUGGGAAUGGGAUUCUCUCUGUCCUGGUUUAAACCAAUGAGGACACUGACAUGGGAAUAUGAAACCUCAGAGAGAAUGUGUGUGCAGAAUAUUGUGGGGAGUCAUGGACCACCACCCCAAGAAUACAUGGGGGUCCUGAGACGGGAGAGGAAGGAGGGGCAUUUUGCAAAAACACUUUCUUCUGGGAAUGCAGCUACAGUUCUCCGAGGACCCCACUCAAUGGGAUGGGACCAGGGAGCCCUCCCUUGUCCAGAAUCUAUAAAGGGGCCUUCUGUGGGGCUUUUUGGAGACCUGGGCACAUGUGCCCUGCAGCUGGGAGACCGAUGCUGGACUAAGGCCACCAAGGUUGCCACCUAACUCACCUGUGCUCCCAGAGCCCUGCCUGAUGGAGAGGGCAAAGGGACACAGCAGGGGCUGGAGGGGAGGGAAGUCAUAGCCAGAGAGGUGCAGCUGUAGGGGGGCAUCCCUGGGUCUCUUUCAAGUGCCUGCCAGCCCCUGGCUGGACAAAGCUCACAGAGGCAGUGGCAGAUGCCAGCCAAAGGAGAGCCCUGCCAGUCCUCCUUCCCACCCCAGCACUCAGACACUGCAUUCAGGGGAAUAGGAGACUUAAUACUGACUCAACCCAAAGCCUGCAUCAUAUCCUGAAGUGACCACAGUGACUGCCAGGACCUGAGGAUAACCAGGAAGGUAUUGAGAAUCCUCUGGUUCCCAUCUGGGGCAGGGUCUGGACUGUAGGGGAUCAGGGUCAUGCUGUGCUUUGCUCUGUCUAAAACCUGGCAGCCCAGCAUUCAGGUUCCUACAAAGGUGCAGCCCAUUCCCUAGGGUGUGGAGGGGCAGGGCCACCCACCGUCCAUCUGCAGCAUUCUCCAGGGCAACCAUGAACCUCGUGCAGGGACUGAAGCCCCCUGGGCCUUAUCCCAGGGCUCAGUACAGUGUGGGGGAUGUGGACUCAGAGAGGGAAGAAGCAACAUUUUCGUGACAAAAGUAGGCUAGUGUCCUGGGCAGAGGGUUCGGAGAGCCUGAGCGGUGAGGUCAGAGUUGAGGACUGUGUGGGCACCUGCGGGGCAGCCCUGGGAGUGGACGGGCAGAUACAAGGCAGGGGGCACCAGAUCCUGGAGCAGGGGCAUCAGCCGGUCCAGGAAUUGGACCACCUGGUUGGUCAGGCACUCUGUCAGCCAGAAGGCAUCGUGGGCUCAGGCUCCUGCAAGCUGGUAGCUUGGAGCAGCAUUGAGAUCAUUAGCUCCCAGUGCUGGGCUCAGGUUGAUAGGUGCAGGGUGAGCCCAGACAAUGGGAGUGUUAAAGCUCUGCAGGUGAUUCUAAUGUGAGGCCAGCGUUGAAAUGCCAAUGCUAGGGCAGCAUUUUCUCAGACUUACAAGUGUUUGUGAAUCUCAUGUAAAUGGAGAUUCUGAUUCUGAUGACAGUACUGCUGGCCUACAGACCAACAUUUGAGUAGCAAGGAUCCAAAUCUGUGUAAACUAACCAACAUGGAACCAUUAGCCUCAUGUGACUAUUUUGUUUUGUUUUGUUUUGUUUUGUUUUGUUUUGUUUUAAAUAAACUCUCCCCACAACGUGGGGCUCGAUCUCAGGACCCCAAGAUCAGUCGCAUGCUUUACCCACUUGAGCCAGCCAGGUGCCCCAUGUGUGGCUGUUUAAAUGUAAACGUAAACGAAUUAAAAUUAAAUUUGAAAAAUCAGUUCCUCAGUCACACUGGCCACAUCUCAAGGACUCAGCACUCCCAUAUCUUAUGACUAGCUGGCAGCCCAAAGGUCAUUUCCACCACUGGAGAAAGGUCUGUUAAAUGGCACUGUUUUGGGGCAAGUAGCAUCUUCCUGACACCCUAUAAGGUUGUGCUUGUCCUGUAAUACUUUCACCUGUCUGUAUGUCUGUCUCCCUCACUACAUCAGCUUCCCAAAGUCAGGGUCUGUGGUGGAUUUACCCACCACUUAUACACACUCAGUAUGCAGGUAAAUAAUGACAAUAAGAGUUACUGUAUAUUAGGCACUCACUAAGUGUCAAGAAUCAUAUUGAAUGCUUUACAUUUUAAUUUCUGACAAUAAUCCUAUUUUAUAAAUGGGAAUGGUGGAAUGUAGUCAAAGAACUUGCCAAAAGGAACAUAGCAGGUGAACUGUAGAGGGGAAUUUGGUGCCACGUAGACCACCUCUGCAGCCAUGUGCCCUUUGCUAUUACUCUACACUGUGGUGGUUCUCACCUGGGGGCGGCUCUGUCCCCCAGAAAACUUUUCGCAGUAUCUGGACACAUACUUGAUUGUUACACUGUGGUGGGAGGGAGACACUACCAGCACCUAGUGGGUAGAGGUUAAACAUAUCAUGGUGCACAGGACAGCCCCCAACAACAAAUAAUCAUCCAGCCCCAAGUCUCAAUAGUGCCAAGGCCGAGAACUGUUGUUUACCACUCAACAAGUAAGUUAUAAUGGGGAGAGAAUGGUGUAUGGGAAAGUUGUGGGAUCAUACUCCUUAAUAUGAGAUGGUCUGCGAGGUAGUGAAUGAAGAGUAAAGAAAAAGCCUGUGUUCAGAUUCCAUCUUUGUUACAUAUGGGCUAUACGAUCCUGAACAAGUCCUUUGAUCCAUGUGAUUCUCUGUUCAUGUCUCUAAAAUGGGGAUUGGAAAGAUUUUUACAUUACAAGGAAGCUCAUGAGGGUCAUUAGGAAGACGAUAUGGCUAUGGAAAUCAAGACUGAACACACCUUUGCUGUGAACAUUUCUUGGGUGGGGAGGAAUUUCUCUGCCUGUCCAGGGGAAGUGAGAGAUGAUAGAGGAAGAGGAAUCUAAGCCCUGUGGGUGAGGGCCCGUCUGAUUACUUUGGACUUUGAGUGCAGCUUGUGUAUCACAGCUCUAUGUCCUUGAGCCUGUCUCUGGCUUCCUGGGUGUCCACUUUGAGAUGAGGGGAUUGGGCUGGACACUUUGGGGAUGUCUGCCUGCCUUACCAUGCAGAGAGCUGGGCAGCUGCACCUAAAGUUAAGAAAAGAGCCAUGCAAAGCAUGUGACACCUGGGAUACCCCCCAGUAAAUGUGCCCGCAUGGGCCCAGGUUCCCAACCCUACAUAUCCCAAUCCAGAUAUGAUUCGUGCAUUGAUUUUUGUUUAUAAAUGCUUUUUCAUGGAUUUUUCCCUCUGAGCAACAAGAGCCCAGUUAUAGCUGGUGCUAUAACAACAACAAGAAAAAAAAAAA